CUUGACAAAGACGGGAAGCCCCUACUUUCUAGAAUGACUCUUAGUAAACCCACAGGGUCAACUCCCAUUAAACUUACCUUGAAUAUAGAACACCCUAGUCCAAGGGACUCGGGGGAAUAUGUGAUGGGGAUGUACUGGAAGGGAGGUGGCUCACACAAUGCACUGGGGACAUUCUACCUACAAGACAUGCUCACCUCCCCCGACUGGGUGGGGACCACUCACAUGAUCGUUAACCCGUUAAAACCACAUAUUAAGACCCUACAUGACAUGGUAGCUAUAGCCAACCCCACCUUUGAAG